rnacentral:rRNA from 1 species
AGCGAACGCUGGCGGCAGGCUUAACACAUGCAAGUCGAGCGGGUGUAGCAAUACAUCAGCGGCAGACGGGUGAGUAACGCGUGGGAACGUACCUUUUGGUUCGGAACAACACAGGGAAACUUGUGCUAAUACCGGAUAAGCACUUACGGGGAAAGAUUUAUCGCCGAAAGAUCGGCCCGCGUCUGAUUAGCUAGUUGGUAGGGUAACGGCCUACCAAGGCGACGAUCAGUAGCUGGUAUGAGAGGAUGAUCAGCAACAUUGGGACUGAGACACGGCCCAAACUCCUGCGGGAGGCAGCAUUGGGGAAUAUUGGACAAUGGGGGCAACCCUGAUCCAGCCAUGCCGCGUGAGUGAUGAAGGCCCUAGGGUUGUAAAGCUCUUUUGUGCGGGAAGAUAAUGACGGUACUGCAAGAAUAAGCCCCGGCUAACCUCGUGCCAGCCGCCGCGGUAAAAC